rnacentral:rRNA from 1 species
GACGGACGCUGGCGGCGUGCUUAACACAUGCAAGUCGAACGGAAAGGCCCCAGCUUGCUGGGGUACUCGAGUGGCGAACGGGUGAGUAACACGUGGGUGAUCUGCCCUGCACUCUGGGAUAAGCCUGGGAAACUGGGUCUAAUACCGGAUAGGACCGUGCUUUAGUGUGUGCGGUGGAAAGUUUUUCGGUGCAGGAUGAGCCCGCGGCCUAUCAGCUUGUUGGUGGGGUAAUGGCCUACCAAGGCGGCGACGGGUAGCCGGCCUGAGAGGGUGUACGGCCACAUUGGGACUGAGACACGGCCCAGACUCCUACGGGAGGCAGCAGUGGGGAAUAUUGCACAAUGGGCGCAAGCUUGAUGCAGCGACGCCGCGUGGGGGAUGACGGCCUUCGGGUUGUAAACCCCUUUCGGCAGGGACGAAGCUUUUGUGACGGUACCUGCAUAAGAAGCACCGGCUAACUACGUG